GUUUAGGUCUAUCCUGAUAAGGCUUCUUCUGUAGACCCACAUCAUUGGAAGUGCUUCAUAGAGUAAAUAAGUACUUUGCUUUAUUCAUAGAACUAUAUGUCAGGUUUAUGGAAAAGAACUACAAAACAGAG
ensembl:snoRNA